CCUAUAGAAGGGAAAGAGGUAGUCCUGAUUAUGGCCGUGGCUCUAGCCGAAGUCCUUACAGGAGAGAGAGGGGUAGCCCUGAUUAUGGUCGUGUUAGAAGCCCAAGUCCCUAUAGGAGGGAUCGGGGUAGCCCUGAUUACGGUCGUAACUCCAGCCGCAGUCCUUACAAGAAAGAGAGAGCUGCUAUUGGUCAUGGUCGAGGCCCUAGCCGUAGUCCUUAUCGGAGGGACAGAGGUAGUCCUGAGAAUGGUCAUGGAUCCAGUCCUAGUCCUUAUCGUAAGGGGAAACCUAGUCCUAACAAUGGUCGUGGCCCCAGCCGCAGUCCAUAUGAAAGAGAGAGGCCUAGUCCUGAAAAUGGUCGUGGAGGCAGCCGAAGUCCCUAUAGAAGAGAGAGGCCUAGCCCUGACAAUGGUCGUGUUCCCAGUCCAAAUUCAAUGCCUGAACCUAGGGAUAGCCCUGGUUAUGAUGGAGCUGACAGCCCUAUCAAUGAGAGAUACCGCAGGUUUGUUUGGUCAUCUUUGAUUUAUGUUCUGCUUGUUUUUUAGCCAUCAUAUCUUUAAUUGACAUAUUUCUCUCCAUGCUCUCUGUUUUGCAGUCGUUCACCUCCAGCCGAGGACUGAACAUGGUUCCCAGAGGAGCCCUGGUCACAGAACUGACCAGGCCAUUUUACAGCAACCAUCCCAAUUAGAUCGUAAUAUC
rnacentral:lncRNA from 1 species